GCAAAAAAAAAAAAAAAAGGCAAAAGUGGAUAAGUUCCCAUUCUGUGGCCACGUGGUGUCUGAUGAAUAUGAGAAAAUAUCCUCUGAAGCCUUGGAGGAUGCUCGUAUUUGUGUCAACAAGUACAUGAUAAAAAGUUGCGGCAAAGAUGGCUUUCAUAGCCGAGUGUGGCUCCACCCUUUCCAUGUCAUCCAAAUGACAUGUUGUCCUGUGCUGGGGCUGACAGGCUCCAAACAGGUAUGUGGGGUACCUUUGAGAAACCCCAGGGCACAGUGGCCAGGGUUCACAUUGGCCAAAUCAUCAUGUCCAUUCGCACCAAGCUGCAGAACAAGGAAUAUGUGACUGAGGCCCUACACAGGGCCAAGUUCAAGUUCCCUAGCCCCAGAAGAUCCACAUCUCAAAGAAGUGGGGCUUUAACAAAUGUAAUGCUGAUGAGUUCGAAGACUUGGUGGCCGAGAAGCAGCUCAUUCCUGAUGGUGUGGGGUCAAAUAUAUUCCCAAUCAUGGUCCCCUGGACAAGUGGUGGGCCCUGCAUUCAUGAGGGCUUCCACUGUGCUGUCCCCUUCUUAAUAUCACACACACACACCAAUAAAUCCUGUAUUGUAUUUAAAAAAAAUCUGUUUCCUAGGCCAA
rnacentral:lncRNA from 1 species